rnacentral:lncRNA from 10 species
AAAGUGUUGAAGGAUGCAAUUGAAAUGAAACUUAGGAAUAGUAUAGAAUUUUCCCUAUGUUCUGCAUACAGGCUAGACAAAGUGAUUUUUUUUCUUUCUCUCUUUUUUUUUUUUUUCUUUUUUGAGACAGAGUCUCUCUGUAGCCCAGGCUCAAUUGCAAUGGCACAGUCUUCGCUCAGUUGAGAAGCCACAGGCAGAAGUGACUGGAGAAAUUACUCAAUAUGCUGAAUAUUGAGUCGACUGGGAAGCCCAACCAAAAAGACGCAUGCAGGGACACCAUGGGGAGCAGAGGAAAGUGCCUGCCCGGGCUUUAAAGGACAACUUGAAAGCAGAGAGCUAUGCCUAGAUGUGCCCGAGUUCAAUUUUAUGAUAUCAGCUAAGUCUUUGGUAGUUUGUGGUGAAUACGUCUUUAUUAGUCUCCUCACAUGACUUCUGUUUGUCAGACACAUUGCUCUAUCGUGAGAAUUCAAAUAUGAGUAAGACACUGUCCCUGCCAUCACAGACUUGGUGGAGAGGAAGCUGCAAAAGAGUCAAUUCUUGUAGAUUCUGCAAAAAUAUUACAAUAGAAAAAAAAAUACAGCCAUGCUUUGUUUUACUGCACUUCACUUUACUGCCUUUCACACGGUUUACAAAUUAAAGGUUUGUGGCAACCCUGCUUCUAGCACGUCUAUUGACACCAUUUUUCCAUCAGCAUGUGCUCACUUCCUGUCUGUGUCAUAUUUUAGUAAUUUUUGCAAUAUUUCAAAAAAAUUUAUUGUCAUUAUAUCCAUUUUGGUAAUCUGUAAUCUGAGGAUCUUUGAUAUUAACAUUUUAAUUGUAUUGGGGUGCCAUAAACCACACCCAUAAAAGAUCGUGAAUUAAUUGAUAAAUGUUGUGUGUGUUCUGACCGUCCCACCAAAGGGCUAUUCCCCCAUUUCUCUUGCUUUAUAUUUGGUAGUCUGGAAUGGAACACACAGUAUGUCAGAGGUAUGCCUAUAAUGUCCAAGCUGAAUCCUAAAUGAUUAUUAAGGAUUAGUAACUUUUUAUCAUGAACCUCAUGUACCCCAUCUAUAAAAAAUAUGCAUUUAUGAAUUAUAUACAUGCAUUACCAUCAACAAUUAAUGGAUAAUAAAACACAAAUUACACACAAAUAGUGAGGUUAAUUGUUAAGAAUACUAUAUAUAUAUAUAUAUAUAAUCAGGACCAAAAAAGUGACAAAUACACAUGUGAUCAUUCUGCAGGUAAUAAUAUAGGAACGGCAUUCAUAAACCAAAUUAUCAGUUGGUUGGAAGUGAAUACAGAUAUUCACACCUGCCUUAUUUUUCCAUACUAAAUGACACCAUUUUCCCAUAUCUUAAAACACAGAAUGUGAAAAGACAAAUUGUAACUUAAAUAAAUAUUAUAUGUAACAACUUAUUCUAAUCUUUUUGAGAACUUCUAGUUUCCUGGCCAAUAUAUUGUCUAAUUGUCUGUGUUUUGUGUGACUAGAAAACAAAGCUCAUACAAUAGUUGAUAUGUCAGUUUCGUUCUUUUUUGUCACUUGCUUGUUCUUGCAAUAAUAGUAUUAAAUUGUCUUCAGUUUACAGUUUCUAUUUAGAAAACCCUUUAUGACCUUUCCCCAUUUUGUAAGGAUCAAUUUAUUUAGAAUAAGAGUAUAACCCAUAAACCCACUUAACUUGGCAUGCAUAAGCUACAAACAUUGCUCUGCACAGUGCUAACAAGAAAGAGGCUUCUGCCAUGCCCUUUCCCCAUUGUGGAACUUCCUUUCUUUUUCAAAAUCCCUCAAGGGCAUCAGUACUUAGUCAGAGUAAACAUUUAUAACGUUUUACUCAUUCUUACUUCAUAGAUAGAAAUGUAUAAAUAAGAACUGCAUAUUUUCUUCCCACUUUUUGAUGGAUCACCCUGUGCAAACCCUGUGAUACACAGCAUGAAACCAUUAUGGUACAAUUUAGCCAGGCAUUGGACAAAGAAAGCAGGGCAUGCAAACUUCCUGAGGCAAGAGGGAACAUGGUCUUUUUGAAGAAGCACUACACUGUGAGCUUUGGCGUCAGAGCUCCUGGUCUUUGUUUGGGCUGUUGCUGUGAACAAGAUAUUUGCAUUGUCACUGUGUUAGUUUUGUGUCAAUAAAUGAGAGUGAUAGUGUUUAUUUGAUAGUGUUAAGGUGGCAUUUAAUAAUAAUAAUGUAGCAAACUAGUAAAUUGGAAUAUUAAUCCAUGUUAUUUUCUUUUUCUGAAUUCCUUAUAUGUGAAUCCCCUCCCACCCCCGUAGGUAAAGAGUUUCACUAUUGUGUUAGAGAGAAAUAGAAUUUUAUAGUGCAAAAACAAAACAAAAAAGAUCAAAAUAUAAUCACUGUUUGGUUUCUUUUAUUUUUUACUUGUAGAACAGACGUUUUAGAGUAUUAUUUUUAAAAAAAGAAGAAGGUUUUCACAGCCAAAGUAAUAAAUAUGGAAAGAGACUGGAAGAAGAAUUAGAUCAUUCCACCCACACCCCCUUGAGAAAUCAAGACCACUGAGUAGUUUUGGUUGCAUGAAGACUCCAGUUUAUCUGUUUUGGUGCCCAGUGGGAAAAGACAAAAAUGAUAAUGUUGCCGGAUAGAAGUCUUUGGUGCCCAGUGGAAAACAGCAGCUGGCCUGACAGGGACAUCUUGCCUGGAGUGUUUGGUGGUAUCCAGGGAUGUAACAAUCAUCAACAGUAGCGCCUGGUGGGCAUUUCGUUGCUCAGAAGAAACAAAAGUCGUUCCAAAGAGCACAACAGGAUCCAGAAAAUACAGUACAAUUUAGUAGACAUGACAAGACUGCCCACUCCAUAACAUGUGAUCAUCCAGUCUAUCUGUCAAUGAAAAUAUAUAAAACAUUCAUUGGGAGCCCCCAGAAAAUUAUAGAUGGAGAUGAGUCUUUUCAAACAAUACAAGAUCCCACAUGAGCCAAGUGAAAUCUUGACUGUUAUUAUUAAUAUAACUUCAUGAUAGACCUGAAUAAAUAGAUGAUCCUGAUGGACUCUUAAGGGAAAAGCAGAAGGGAGAGUUUAUUUCAAUCCUUACACAAGUUCUUGAGAAAGAUGUUUAUACGUUGGGCUUGCUGUCAACAAAAAAGAGAAGUAGCAGCAUCCAGUAACUUUUUCAUUGAUAGUAGAGCAAGAAGAGAAGUGGUUUUGCAAUAAAGAUAAUAUCGUGACUCCACUUGGGUCAUGAUAAGAACAUCACUGGGACCUCACCUCAACUACCUGAUCAGGGGAAGCUGAGGAACUGAGUCAAGCCUCACAGAAUAAUCUGAAACAGCAGGAUGCUCACCAGACAUGGUUUCUUCGACUUCACUAGCUGCAAAGAAUGAAUUGUGUAUAAGCAAAAAUGAAAAACGCUGCAGUGUCCAAGAGGCUUGGACUUAAAAAUAUUCAAGGUCUAGAUUUUAUCCGAUCCAUAAACAAUUUUUUUAAAGCAGUCAUAAUAAAAUAGCAGCUCCCAGUAACUUCUGCGAGUUUCACCUUCUUCAGGAAUUGACUCAAUUCAGUUUGACUCAUUCUUGGAAGCCUCAUCAAAAUUCUCCACAAGAUGUGAAACUUCAUCACUGUCAUCCUCUCCAGUAGCAAGUGGUGCUUUUCCC